rnacentral:lncRNA from 1 species
ACGGGUGCGGGGGGCAGUUGGGGUCCAGCCGCGGGGGCGGCGCGGCGGGGCGAGGCGAGGGUCCCGACUUGGUUGACAUUCAUUAGCUCUGAUGAGCUUAAUUACCUUCCUCAAAUACUGCGGCGCGCAGGAGCGGCGCGGGCGGAGGCUACUUCCAGGAUGAUUUUAUUGAUUGUGACUGAUGGAUGGCAUCAACAUUUCAUAGUGAAGAAUCAUGGUUUUGUUACAUCAGGAAAAUUAAAUUGGGAGAGUUAUUUUCUCUCCCCGUGAUGGUGGCAGUUAGAAUAUUUCACCUGUAAUGAGAUGUGUGCGUUCUGUGCCACCGCGAGCCACGGCUCGGCCAUUAAAUCUAUGUAAAUGAAGAGAAACACGGGAGAGCCGCGCAUAAUAACGCGCGGAACAGAGAAAUGGAUCCUGGAAAGUGAUUAAUUUAUUUGAUGAUGCCUCAAGUGAGGAAUUUUAGGUCACAAAUGAAGUGACAGAAUGACAAAUUACCAUUUUAAAGAAUUUACUGGGCAUCAUUACUGAACAAUUGUCAGGUUAUGUCCCUUCCCCGGCUGUACGUCACGGUGCCUACUACCAGGACCGACUGCAGUGUGCACGGCGAAGUUGCAAUUUGAAAUAAAGACAUUGUCUCCAGAGCAUCCACUGAGACUAAUAUAUCUGAAAUAUAUCAUGAAAACAACAUUUAGAGAGGAGAAAUGGUAGAAAACUUAAAGUUUCAUAGAAUCCAGGGAGGUGAUAUAAAUAAGCAAAUCAGCCUGGUAGUACGCUAUGCUGAACGGAAGAGAAUGUGCGUCAGCUGGCCUGGAGCACCGUCAGAGGCAUCUGUGCUGCUGAAGCGGGCACUGGACUGAAUUUUCCUGAUCACAGAGUUAUCUAUUCUGUGACUGCAACUGGAUGACCUGUGGCCAGCUGUCCUGAGUCCCACAGCAUCCCAGUGAAGCCGAGCGCCUUCGGAGGGACGUCACCUAUGGCUUGCAACGGGACUGCCCCCCUCAAAGUCUAGUUGUAACCGUUUAAAUGCUAACAGUAUUAAGCAUGCUGCCAAAACACAAACACUCAGCCUAUGUCAUUAAAAUUUAAUUAUACGGGGGCAGCUGAGCCCAGUCUGAGUUUUGAAUCUGAAAAAUCUUGUUAAAAAAAAAAAUAAUAAAAAUGAAAGUACCAACCA